rnacentral:rRNA from 1 species
UGCCAGCCGCCGCGGUAAUACAGAGGUGGCAAGCGUUGUUCGGUAUCACUGGGCUUAAAGGGCGCGUAGGCGGUGCGGUACGGUUCGGGUGAAAUCCCUCGGCUCAACCGAGGAACUGCCCGGGCAACGGCCGCGCUUGGCGGCAUCAGGGGAAGGUGGAACUCCCGGUGGAGCGGUGAAAUGUGUAGAUAUCGGGAGGAACGCCGGUGGCGAAAGCGACCUUCUGGGGUGUACGCGACGCUGAGGCGCGAAAGCUAGGGGAGCGAACGGGAUUAGAUA